UACGUAGGGCGCAAGCGUUGUCCGGAAUUAUUGGGCGUAAAGAGCUCGUAGGCGGCCUGUUGCGUCCGCUGUGAAAUCCCGGGGCUUAACCCCGGGUCUGCAGUGGAUACGGGCAGGCUAGAGGCAGGCAGGGGAGAACGGAAUUCCCGGUGUAGCGGUGAAAUGCGCAGAUAUCGGGAGGAACACCGGUGGCGAAGGCGGUUCUCUGGGCCUGUUCUGACGCUGAGGAGCGAAAGCGUGGGGAGCGAACAGG
rnacentral:rRNA from 1 species